rnacentral:lncRNA from 1 species
AUGACAGCUUGCCGGGACUUAAUGACAGCCUGGGCGCAGGGCGAGCCGCGGCCGCGGAGACAAAGGAAGGGGACGACGAAGCUCGGCGCUGCCGCUGGCCCCGGCAAGGUGCGGGGGCAGGGGACGAGCCCGGGGGGGCAGCCCCGGGGCUGUGGGAGCCCGGGGGACCCCCGGACGGCGCNGGCCGCUCCCCGCCCCCCCCCCCCGGCAGCCGGGGGCGAGGCUGGCUCAGCCCCCCCCGAGGCUCCGGACGAGCGGCAGCGCCGGGAGGGGGCAAAGGAAGGAAAGGGAGCCACCGGAGCCCGAGAAAGUGCCGAGUCGCAGCAGACCUGCCCCCUGCCCCUGCCGCUGCCGCUGCCGCUGCUGCUGCUGCUGCUGCUGAUGGUGAUGAUCCAGUGACUACAGCAGAGAAGUGCAAGAGGAGUGGGAAGUGC